GGGGGCACGUUCAAAAUGUCUGAUGUGCGUUCUCAGGGCUUCCACGGUAAUGCGAGUUUGCAUUGGAUGGUCCCGAGAAAUCACAAUAGUUGCCUCUGUUGACGUGUAUCUGGGCAAACCAAGGCAAACUCUGAGUGCUUGAGCUUGUGCUGCCUGCAGAACAUGAAUAUUAGUCUUGCAAGUGUUGUUCAGUACAGGUAGACUAUAUCUUAGAAAACCAAGAAAGAGAGCUCUGUCGAGUUUCAGCAUUGCGUGCUUACUGACCUCCCCCAC
rnacentral:lncRNA from 1 species